UCGUCUGCCCAAGGAUGGGUCUGCGGCCUAUCAGGUAGUAGUGGGUGUAAUGUACCUACUAGCCUACGACGGGUACGGGUUGUGAGAGCAAGAGCCCGGAGAUGGAUUCUGAGACAUGAAUCCAGGCCCUACGGGGCGCAGCAGGCGCGAAAACUUUACAAUGCGGGAAACCGUGAUAAGGGGACACCGAGUGCCAGCAUCCUAUGCUGGCUGUCCAGGUGUGUAAAAUACACCUGUUAGCAAGGGCCGGGCAAGACCGGUGCCAGCCGCCGCGGUAACACCGGCGGCCCGAGUGGUGAUCGUGAUUAUUGGGUCUAAAGGGUCCGUAGCCGGUUUGGUCAGUCCUCCGGGAAAUCUGACAGCUUAACUGUUAGGCUUUCGGAGGAUACUGCCAGACUUGGAACCGGGAGAGGUAAGAGGUGCUACAGGGGUAGGAGUGAAAUCUUGUAAUCCCUGUGGGACCACCUGUGGCGAAGGCGUCUUGCCAGAACGGGUUCGACGGUGAGGGACGAAAGCUGGGGGCACGAACCGGAUUAGAUACCCGGGUAGUCCCAGCCGUAAACGAUGCUCGCUAGGUGUCAGGCAUGGCGCGACCGUGUCUGGUGCCGCAGGGAAGCCGUGAAGCGAGCCACCUGGGAAGUACGGCCGCAAGGCUGAAACUUAAAGGAAUUGGCGGGGGAGCAC
rnacentral:rRNA from 1 species